rnacentral:rRNA from 1 species
CGCAUAAUCUCUACGGAGAAAAGCAGGGGAUCGCAAGACCUUGCGCUCUUGGAGCGGCCGAUGCCUGAUUAGCUAGUUGGUGAGGUAAAGGCUUACCAAGGCGACGAUCAGUAGCUGGUCUGAGAGGACGACCAGCCACACUGGGACUGAGACACGGCCCAGACUCCUACGGGAGGCAGCAGUGGGGAAUUUUGGACAAUGGGGGAAACCCUGAUCCAGCCAUGCCGCGUGAGUGAAGAAGGCCUUCGGGUUGUAAAGCUCUUUCAGCCGGAACGAAACGGUCACGGCUAAUACCUGUGACUACUGACGGUACCGGAAGAAGAAG